CGUAGGGGACGAGCGUUGUCCGGAUUCAUUGGGCGUAAAGCGCGCGUAGGCGGCUCGGAAAGUCGGUCGUGAAAUGCCGGGGCUCAACCCCGGGACUGCGUCCGAUACUUCCGGGCUGGAGGUAGGUAGGGGAGAUCGGAAUUCCUGGUGUAGCGGUGAAAUGCGCAGAUAUCAGGGGGAACACCGGUGGCGAAGGCGGAUCUCUGGGCCUUACCUGACGCUGAGGCGCGAAAGCUAGGGGAGCGAACAGGAUUAGAUACCCUGGUAGUCCUAGCCGUAAACGUUGGGUGCUAGGUGUGGGCGGACAGUCGACCCCGUCCGUGCCGAAGCUAACGCAUUAAGCACCCCGCCUGGGGAGUACGGCCGCAAGGCUA
rnacentral:rRNA from 1 species